AGAGUUUGAUCCUGGCUCAGGACGAACGCUGGCGGCGUGCCUAAGACAUGCAAGUCGAGCGGACCACUUCGGUGGUUAGCGGCGGACGGGUGAGUAACACGUGGAUAACCUGCCUUGUGCUCUGGGAUAACAGGCCGAAAGGCUUGCUAAUACCGGACGAGCUCACGGGCCCGCAUGGGUCCGGGAGAAAAGGCGCUGCAAGGCGCUGGGACAAGAGGGGUCCGCGGCCCAUUAGCUAGUUGGAGGGGUAACGGCCCACCAAGGCGACGAUGGGUAGCCGGCCUGAGAGGGCGACCGGCCACACUGGGACUGAGACACGGCCCAGACUCCUACGGGAGGCAGCAGUCGGGAAUUUUGCACAAUGGCCGAAAGGCUGAUGCAGCAACGCCGCGUGAGUGAAGAAGGCCUUCGGGUUGUAAAGCUCUGUUGCCCGUGACGAAGUGCGUAAUCAGGAAAUGGGUUACGUUUGACGGUAGCGGGAGAGGAAGCCCCGGCUAACUACGUGCCAGCAGCCGCGGUAAUACGUAGGGGGCGAGCGUUGUCCGGAUUUAUUGGGCGUAAAGGGCGUGUAGGCGGUUCUUUAAGUCAGGGGUGAAACCCCGGAGCUCAACUCCGGGCCUGCCUCUGAAACUGGAGAACUUGAGUACUCUAGAGGGCAGUGGAAUUGCCGGUGUAGCAGUGAAAUGCGUAGAGAUCGGCAGGAACACCAGUGGCGAAGGCGACUGCCUGGGGAGAAACUGACGCUGAGGCGCGAAAGCUGGGGGAGCAAACGGGAUUAGAUACCCCGGUAGUCCCAGCCG
rnacentral:rRNA from 1 species